rnacentral:rRNA from 1 species
AUUGAACGCUGGCGGCAGGCCUAACACAUGCAAGUCGAGCGGAUGAAGGGAGCUUGCUCCUGGAUUCAGCGGCGGACGGGUGAGUAAUGCCUAGGAAUCUGCCUGGUAGUGGGGGAUAACGUCCGGAAACGGGCGCUAAUACCGCAUACGUCCUGAGGGAGAAAGUGGGGGAUCUUCGGACCUCACGCUAUCAGAUGAGCCUAGGUCGGAUUAGCUAGUUGGUGGGGUAAAGGCCUACCAAGGCGACGAUCCGUAACUGGUCUGAGAGGAUGAUCAGUCACACUGGAACUGAGACACGGUCCGACUCCUACGGGAGGCAGCAGUGGGGAAUAUUGGACAAUGGGCGAAAGCCUGAUCCAGCCAUGCCGCGUGUGUGAAGAAGGUCUUCGGAUUGUAAAGCACUUUAAGUUGGGAGGAAGGGCAGUAAGUUAAUACCUUGCUGUUUUGACGUUACCAACAGAAUAAGCACCGGCUAACUUCGUG